ensembl:lncRNA
AUUUAAGCUCCAUCCUUGUUAUUCAUUCUGGUUAGAAGCCUGCUGUAGGUCUGCCUGGUCUCUAAGUGGAGCUUGGGCUCCUGUGGCUCUGUCUUUUUACUGCCCUGUGCUCCAGAUCUUGCUUUGGCUGAUGCUGACCAUAGAUGAAGUUCCUAACUGAGAUGCUGCUGGAUGCACCAGGAUGCUGUGUGCCUGCUCUUAUACUGUGCUGCCCUGUAUGAUGGAGGAGCUGCCUUGUGUAGUGCCCUGGAAGCCUUUCCUCCAUAUGGGGCCCAGCGAGCUGGCUCUCACACAGCACUGAAUGAGGAAAGAAAGCUUCAAAGAAGGGCGGCUCUGGCUUCUCAAGGGACAACUGAGAUGGGCAGGCAGCCUGACCUUCGUGCUGCUGCUGAAUCCACUGCUGUUUCCUCAGGGCUGGACAAAGGCUGCCAUGGAAGCAGGGGCUGGUGGCAAAGUCAGAGGGUAAACUGUUCCUUAGGGUAGGUGCAUCUAUUCCUAAGCAGCAGUCAGCUGUUAUUUGGCUUCCUCACGAAGCAGAAUUGCUGUAGGAAAUCGUGCUGACCAGAGUUAGAAGAUGUGCUCCAGAUUGGUGCUACAAACAGGGAGGCAUUGUUAUUUGUGUCACAGAUUGGAGGGAAUGAAUCUGCAUGUUGGAGCCUCUAUAGACAAAGUUCUGUGUAAACAGGAAAGGAAAAAAGAGCAAAUGGUUAUGAGAAAAAAAGAAGCUGUGGAGGAAAAAGGAUCCUAGAGGAGGGUGAGAAGGCAGAGUGAGGCGUGUGAUGCUGCAGCACUGAAGGCAGUGACACAAGGAUGGGCAAAGCAGAGCCACGGCAGCAUCUUCCCCCUGGCUGAGUGAACCAAACUAAUGUCAUAUUGUAGGUUCUGAGAUUUCAAGAUCUAAUAGGACAUGUAAUUACGAUGCUGAAGCUAAUAGUCUCCAGCCAUCCUUGUGCUGGUGUUACUGCCUGCUAACAGCCUUCAGAGUCAGAUAGAGCAGUACAGCCUGGUGCUUUUUCCCUCUACCAAUUACAUCUUUUGACAUCUCAGCUUUUGGCAGUAGUUCUGGUCUUGCAUUCUCUGUUUACCACGUGCCGUUGUCGUACAGCUCAGGCACUGCCUUUCUGAUCAAACUUGAGCUCGCCAUUAAUUCUGACUCAUUUAUGAGCAGGUGCUGCCUGCAGCUGAGUCCUUACCCUGGGCAGCAGGAGCUCUGCAGUCAUACAGUGUGUGCUUUGUGGGGAGGCCAGCAGUGGCCCUACAGAUUGGGGGUGUGCAUGGGGGAGGGUCUCACCCCAAGGUUCAGCAUUGGUUGUCAUAUCAACGAGAGUGCUUUGGGUAUCAUUCUGUAUGGGGAAGUGCUGUUUCCUGGCCAAAAGUGGACAUCUGCCUGAGUGGUUGGGGCUGGGUGCAGCUUAACCUCCUCAAACCACCCCUGCAUGUUGAUUCUUCAGUUUCAUAUUGCUCCACUGAAGCUAAUGAUAAUCAAGAUUUUAUUUGUUCUGCAUAAUCUACAUUGGCCUUUUCACACGCUAAACCCAAGAUCACACCACAUCAUUUAGAAUCGCUUCCAGAAAUGAUUUCCUCUCUCUGCUGAAGCCUCUGCUGAGUGUCCGCUAUGCAGAUCUGAAAUUGGAUUACCAGAGCAGCAGAGGAGAUGAGGGCUGGAGAGAGCCGGAGGAAGCAUUUAGUUCGAAUUUACUGUCGUACUGAAUCAAUCUCCAUAUGGAAGGCUGAUAUCUCUGUCGAUGUGGGCUGCUUUCAGCCCAGACACCAAUAAAUCGUGGGUCAAUCAGAGGAAGGCGGUGAGC